CUGGAGGUAGUGGCUGCAUCUACAGAUUCAAGUUGGGUCCUUUCACCUGGACUAGUUCUCAGGAACUUCAGAUGCCAGGUAAGCUGCUUCCCUGUUACGGGGGCUGUUGCUGCUGACACCAGACCUAAAGACAGCAUUCAGGUCUGAACUGGAGCAGGUUAGGCUGCUAGGAGAGGAAGCAUGCUGAGUGACAUUACUCUUGAGUCUAACACAGCAACUCCCAAAAUUCAAAGAAGUAACAAGUUCUUCACCACUCCUGGACAUUAAAAGGAUCUGUGAAAUUCUUUGCCAGCAGGAGAAUACGAUUUUUUAAAAAGUGAUAUUGACAUUGUUCAACUUUCCAGACUCAAGUCAUUAAAUCUCUAAAUUGUUCUAAAUAUUCAUUUUGCUUUCU
rnacentral:lncRNA from 1 species